GGCGGCGUGCCUAACACAUGCAAGUCGAACGAGAAAGUCCCUUCGGGGGAUAAGUAAAGUGGCGCACGGGUGAGUAACACGUAGGUAAUCUACCCUCGGGUGGGGAAUAACCCAGGGAAACUUGGGCUAACACCGCAUAAUGCAGCGGCACCACAUGGUGACAGUUGUUAAAGCGGGGGAUCUUAGGACCUCGCGCCUGAAGAGGAGCCUGCGGCGGAUUAGCUAGUUGGUGAGGUAACGGCUCACCAAGGUGACGAUCCGUAGCCGGCCUGAGAGGGCGGUCGGCCACACUGACACUGACAUACGGGUCAGACUCCUACGGGAGGCAGCAGUCGGGAAUUUUGGGCAAUGGGCGAAAGCCUGACCCAGCAACGCCGCGUGAAGGAUGAAAUCCCUCGGGAUGUAAACUUCGCAGGAAUGGGAAGAAUUAGUAGGGGUCAAUACCCCCUAUGAUGACGGUACCAUUUGUAAGCUCCGGCUAACUCCGUGCCAGCAGCCGCGGUAAUACGGGGGA
rnacentral:rRNA from 1 species